rnacentral:snRNA from 1 species
AGGUGUUACAGCUCUUUUAGAAUUUGUUUAAUAGGUUUUCCAGUCUUUGCUGGAAGACCCCC